GCCGUGUGCCUAAUACAUGCAGUCGAACGCGUUGGCCCAAUUGAUUGAUGGUGCUUGCACCUGAUUGAUUUUGGUCGCCAACGAGUGGCGGAACGGGUGAGUAACACGUAGGUAACCUGCCCAGAAGCGGGGGACAACAUUUGGAAACAGAUGCUAAUACCGCAUAACAACGUUGUUCGCAUGAACAACGCUUAAAAGAUGGCUUCUCGCUAUCACUUCUGGAUGGACCUGCGGUGCAUUAGCUUGUUGGUGGGGUAACGGCCUACCAAGGCGAUGAUGCAUAGCCGAGUUGAGAGACUGAUCGGCCACAAUGGGACUGAGACACGGCCCAUACUCCUACGGGAGGCAGCAGUAGGGAAUCUUCCACAAUGGGCGCAAGCCUGAUGGAGCAACACCGCGUGAGUGAAGAAGGGUUUCGGCUCGUAAAGCUCUGUUGUUAAAGAAGAACACGUAUGAGAGUAACCUGUUCAUACGUUGAC
rnacentral:rRNA from 2 species